rnacentral:rRNA from 1 species
UUGGCUCAGAGGUAGCCAUCCUUUAAAGAGUGUGUAACAACUCACUAUUCGAUGGCCGACGGCGCCGAAAAUGUACCGGGGCUAAGCAUGAUACCGAAGAUAUGGAUUACGCGCAUCUCACUAAGGCGAGAUGCAAGAAAAUGUAAAAUGUAAAUCUCAAAAUGCAAAAUGACAGUGCAAAAUGUAAAAUAGACGAACCUAAAACAUUUUGAAUUUUAAAUUGUCACUUUAAUCUUUGAUUUUUCAAUUUUUAAUUUUUGAGCACGUCACUUUAGUGAGGUGCGUGUAGUGGUAGGAGAGCAUUCCCAUCUGCGUUGAAGGUCGACCCGUGAGGGCGACUGGAGCGUUGGGAAGAGAGAAUGUUGGUAUGAGUAGCCCACUAAGUUAGUAAGAAACUGACUCCCCGAAAAUCCAAGGUUUCCGUGGCAAUGGCAAUCAACCACGGGUUAGGCGGCCCUAAGGCAAUGGCGAAAGCCGCAGCUGAUGGACUAGCCGGUUAAUAUUCCGGCCCGCCCUUAUAUUUCGAUGGAGUGACGGAGAAAAUGAGGUUUAGCGCCUUAAUGGUUUGGCGUUCUUGGCCCUAGAGUUGUUUUACAGGCAAAUCCGUAAAACUUUCUUUAAUGAUAAACUCGAAGUAGAGAAAAGGCUUAGUUUUUACUAAGUCAAUUAGAUCGAAGAGACUUCCUAGAAAAACUUCUAAGAUUAAAUAUAAGGGAUCCGUACCGUAAACCGACACAGGUGGAUAGGGCGAGAAGCCCAAGGGGUACGAGUGAUUUAUCUUUAAGGAACUCGGCAAAAAAGCGGCCGUACCUUCGGUAUAAGGCCUGCCCUUCUGUAAAAGGAAGGGCCGCAGCGAAAGUCUCCCUGACGACUGUUUAUCAAAAACACAGCUCCCUGCGAACUCGCAAGAGGAUGUAUAGGGGGUGACACCUGACCGAUGCGAGAAGGUCAAGCUUGGAUGUGAUGUGGCGCAAGUUGCAUUGCUUACUGAGUUAAGCCCUCGUCAAUGUCAGCGGUAACUAUAACCGUUCUAAGGUAGCGCAAUUCCUUUUCGGGUAAGUUCCGAAGCGCACGAAUGGUGUAACGAUCGGGGAACUGUCUCAAAGAUAAGCUCGGCGAAAAUGCGAUUCCCGUGAAGACGCGGGAUACCUGCAGCGGGACGAAAAGACCCCGGGAGCUUUACUGUAGCUUGGUAUUGGCUUUAGGGUUUGCAUACGUAGCGUAGUGGUGAGAGAUUGAAGUCAGGAUUUCGGUUCUGGUGGACUCGACAAUGAAACAGCCAUUUUGCAAUUCUUAAAGUCUAACCCGAAGGGCAAAAACCUUUGGGGACAGUGCCUGGUGGGCAGUUUUAAUGGGGCGUUAUCCUCCUAAAGAGUAACGGAGGAGUUUAUUAAGGUCGACUUAGCGCGGAUGGAAAUCGCGCUGAACGUGUAAAGGCAUAAGUCGGCUUAACUGCAAGACCUACAAGUCACGCAGAUGCGAAAGCAGAACUUAGCGACCCGACGGUUCUUCAUAGGAAGGCCGGAGACAACGGAUAAAAGUUACCCCGGGGAUAACAGGCUAGUGAGAUCCGAGAGUCCCUAUCGACGAUCUCGCUCGGCACCUCGAUGUCGGCUCGUCCUAGCGCGGGGCUGGAGAAGGUCCCAAGCGUAUGGCUGUUCGCCAUUUAAAAG